UACAGAGGGGGCAAGCGUUGUUCGGAAUUACUGGGCGUAAAGGGCGCGUAGGCGGCCCGCUAAGUCGAACGUGAAAUCCCCGGGCUCAACCCGGGAACUGCGUCCGAUACUGGCAGGCUUGAAUCCGGGAGAGGGAUGCGGAAUUCCAGGUGUAACGGUGAAAUGCGUAGAUAUCUGGAGGAACACCGGUGGCGAAGGCGGCAUCCUGGACCGGCAUUGACGCUGAGGCGCGAAAGCCAGGGGAGCAAACGGG
rnacentral:rRNA from 1 species